GAUGAACGCUGGCGGCAUGCCUAAUACAUGCAAGUCGAACGAGAGGAAGGAAAGCUUGCUUUCCUGAAUCUAGUGGCGAACGGGUGAGUAACACGUAGGUAACCUGCCCAUGUGCCUGGGAUAACUUCUGGAAACGGAUGCUAAAACCGGAUAGGUAGCAGACAAGCAUUUGACUGCUAUUAAAGUGGCCUUGGCCAUGAACAUGGAUGGACCUGCGGUGCAUUAGCUGGUUGGUGAGGUAACGGCCCACCAAGGCGACGAUGCAUAGCCGGCCUGAGAGGGCGGACGGCCACAUUGGGACUGAGACACGGCCCAAACUCCUACGGGAGGCAGCAGUAGGGAAUUUUCGUCAAUGGGGGGAACCCUGAACGAGCAAUGCCGCGUGAGUGAGGAAGGUCUUCGGAUCGUAAAGCUCUGUUGUAAGAGAAAAACGGCACUCAUAGGGAAUGAUGAGUGAGUGAUGGUAUCUUACCAGAAAGUCACGGCUAACUACGUGCCAGCCGCCGCCGUAA
rnacentral:rRNA from 1 species